rnacentral:rRNA from 1 species
GAUGAACGCUAGCGGCAGGCUUAACACAUGCAAGUCGAGGGGUAGAGGAAGCUUGCUUCCUUGAGACCGGCGCACGGGUGCGUAACGCGUAUACAAUCUACCUUUUACAGAGGGAUAGCCCCAGAGAAAUUUGGAUUAAUACCUCAUAGUAUUUUCGGAUCGCAUGAUUUGAUUAUUAAAGUUCCAACGGUAAAGAUGAGUAUGCGUCCAUUAGCUAGAUGGUAAGGUAACGGCUUACCAUGGCUACGAUGGGUAGGGGUCCUGAGAGGGAGAUCCCCCACACUGGUACUGAGACACGGACCAGACUCCUACGGGAGGCAGCAGUGAGGAAUAUUGGACAAUGGGCGCAAGCCUGAUCCAGCCAUGCCGCGUGCAGGAUGACGGUCCUAUGGAUUGUAAACUGCUUUUGUACAGGAAGAAACACUGGUUCGUGAACCGGCUUUGACGGUACUGUAAGAAUAAGGAUCGGGCUAACUCCGUGCCAGCAGCCG